rnacentral:rRNA from 1 species
UACGUAGGGUGCGAGCGUUAAUCGGAAUUACUGGGCGUAAAGCGUGCGCAGGCUGUUUUGUAAGUCAGAUGUGAAAUCCCUGAGCUCAACUUAGGAACUGCGUUUGAAACUACAAGACUAGAAUAUGUCAGAGGGGGGUAGAAUUCCACGUGUAGCAGUGAAAUGCGUAGAUAUUAGGAAGAACACCAGUGGCGAAGGCGCUCUACUGGGCCAUUACUGACGCUGAUGGACGAAAGCUAGGGGAGCGAAAGGG